AAAAUUUGUCAUCAACCUACAAGGCCUUUCGUAAGACCUCGAGUACAAUUUUUAGAAAACCCCCUGUCAUUUAUAUUUAGAUAGGAAGGCGUUU
rnacentral:sRNA from 14 species